rnacentral:tRNA from 1 species
GGAGCGGUGGCAGAGUGGUCGAAUGCGCCGGACUCGAAAUCCGGUAAACGGUUAUACCGUUUCGAGGGUUCGAAUCCCUCCUGCUCCGCCA